rnacentral:rRNA from 1 species
CUUCGACAUCAUACUGCCUUGAACACACUGGGUCUCAAUUAAUUUCAGAAGCUAAGCAUCAUCAGGCCUGGUUAGUUCUUGGAUGGGAGAACUCCAAAGAAUACCAGCGAGUCCAGAAGU